rnacentral:rRNA from 1 species
UACGUAGGGUGCGAGCGUUGUCCGGAAUUAUUGGGCGUAAAGAGCUUGUAGGCGGUUUGUCGCGUCUGCCGUGAAAACUCAGGGCUUAACCCUGAGCUUGCAGUGGGUACGGGCAGACUAGAGUGCGGUAGGGGAGACUGGAAUUCCUGGUGUAGCGGUGAAAUGCGCAGAUAUCAGGAGGAACACCGGUGGCGAAGGCGGGUCUCUGGGCCGUAACUGACGCUGAGGAGCGAAAGCAUGGGGAGCGAACAGG